UCACUGAGCGUUUGUGUCUGGAGCGUUCACAAGCUUCUACCACUCUCUCUCUCUCUCUCUCUCUCGCUCUCAUUGUUGCUUAGGGUGGAGGUUGAAACUGGAUUUAACUGACGCUUGAAAGUAAAGUCAAAUAGAGUAGCAUAGCAAAGCAUGUGUUGUAUAUGUUUUUUAGAUAUCUCUAUGAAUAUAAAGAACGGUCGCUGCACGGAACAAACAAAUGAAGUUGUGGAGUUGUGGAUGAAUCUGCAAGUUCAACACAGAAUUGACUAUUUCACACAUUGAGAUUUUUUGCGGGCAACGGAAUUGGCCUAGUCUGCACCCUAAGCCUGACUCCAUAUUGCCGCCAGGUGUAGGCUGACUCCGGUAUGGACAUCGAACUGGUCAGCACCAGAGACAGUCGUCCUGCACCGGCGUGCCGAGGACCGCAGCACCCGAGGCACGGUCAGUCGCUGCCGCCAGCUUGGUGAGUUCACUCCCCUUCUCUCAAUGCGUGUGUGUGAUUUAUACAAGAGCUGACGUGACCCGAUAGUAUCUGUAUGUGAAGUAGCAGUGAUUGCAGUGUUGCACUGAAAACCUCAUUGCGGAUAUGCGAACGUCUCGUCCGCCGCAUAUCGGCGAACAGAAA